ACGGGGUGCAGCAGGCGCGAAAACUUGGCAAUGCGAGAAAUCGUGACCAGGGAACUCCAAGUGCAUGGGGUAAGACCCAUGCUUUUCUUGACUCUAAAUAGGUCUUGGAAUAAGGGGUGGGUAAGGACGGUGCCAGCCGCCGCGGUAAUACCGGCGCCUCAAGUGGUAGUCGCUUUUAUUGGGCCUAAAACGUCCGUAGCCGGUCUGAUACAUUCGUGGGUAAAUCAACCAGCUUAACUGGUUGAAUUCUGCGAGGACGGUCAGACUUGGGACCGGGAGAGGUGUGGGGUACGCUCAGGGUAGGGGUAAAAUCCUGUCAUCCUGAGCGGACCACCUGUUGCGAAGGCGCCACACUAGAACGGAUCCGACGGUCAGGGACGAAGCCUAGGGGCACGAACCGGAUUAGAUACCCGGGUAGUCCUAGGUGUAAACGCUGUGGAUUUGAUGUUGGGGGUGCUCCGAGCACUCUCAGUGUCGAAGCGAAGGUGAUAAGUCCACUGCCUGGGAAGUACGGUCGCAAGGCUGAAACUUAAAGGAAUUGGCGG
rnacentral:rRNA from 1 species